GCAGUAUAAAGUGGGCACCUACAUUGUAUUAAAAUCUAAAGAUUUUAAGGUUAAGCAUUCUCAAACAAUUCACCUAACUCCAAAAUUAUAUUUUUUCACCAUUUUUCCGUUUCCAUGGUGAUGGCAGCCAUUUUUUUAGUUCCAAUACCGGAAAGCAACAGGAAAGUCAGGGUUCCUUGUUAUAGUGCACUAUCAUUCAGAUUGGUUCCUUUGGCUCUGAGAAAACUGCCGGACAAAAUUAGGUGGAAGAAAAAUAAUAAUAACUAGAAUUGCCAUUGCAAGCAAUAGCGGAUGUCACCCUUCCCCUAUUGCCACUAACCGGCAGCCGUUUCAAAAUGGUUGAACAGUGAAUGCACAUAUAUUAAUG
rnacentral:lncRNA from 1 species